ACACUGAUUUCUUCAUUUCUAAUUUUAUCAAGAUAGUGCCCAGCUCAUUCAGCUUAACAAGUACAGUACAACAGCUCCUGAGUAUCAAAGUGCAUUCUGUCUCAGGCCCUAAUCCCAUAAAAACUGGCGUUCCAAAGCUCAGAGAAACAUUCCUAAUCAAAUUCUAUAAAUGGUGCAACGCCUCUUUCAGUUUUUCUGACUCUCCGUGUGGGUGUUACUUUCUGUGAAAGAAAGGAAAGCAGCAUGAGGAGCAGAGAUGCAAUUCAACAGCACCCUUUCUAAUCCCCAAGGCACUGAUAGCUAUUUCACAACCCAACAUCCUCCAGCAGCCUAGAAAUGUCACCAAGAAUACUCUGACUUCUUAUCCUCUCACUGGAUAAAGGAACUACAACCGCCAAGCAUGCAUCUUGUGUCAUCACUGACAGCCCAGGCUCGACUUGGACAUCACAACACAAGCAGAUUACUGUGAAGGUCUGCUUGGCAGCUGCCUCACUAUGCUGGUGAAUGCCCUGCUCCUCUCCAUGGGCACUAGCCUGCAGCACAGAACUCUCAGCAUAAUACUCUUUCACCUGCUCAAUUGUAAAUUAUAUUGAAAACAGACAAACAAAAAAAUUCAACAGCAUUUGAGUCCUCUGUCUGAAGAUUGUCUGAAAGAGGAGACUUUUCUGACAUGCUCUGGCACAUGGUACAUGCAAGGAUCUUCUAUCAAAACUAGGUGAACUAUAUUUUCUUUUAAAGGACUAUUUCCAAAGUUGUUCUCAGGCUAAAAAUAUUUGUGGAAGAAGCCAUUCACAAGUAAAGAGAAGUGCCAGGGAAAGGAGCUUUCAGACCGGCUGCUGUGGGAGAUGAUCAAUGGCUGUGCUGAGCAUCUCCUUUUCUUCAGGGAUGAGCUACUGGACCUUUGCAGUAAUGGCAGCCAGUGGUGGUGCAGCACUGGGGAUGCUGGCCAUCAUGCUCAGGAGCAAGUUUAAGCUGAUACUCAGACUCUUUUAGGGUGGCUGUCUGUCCCUGCAGCCCAGUGCUACCAGGCCGGGUGAUGGACACCCUAAGGUAAGCAGCCCUCGAAUUAGUUGUGUGGCAGGACUAUGACACAUAUCUCACCACUCAGGUUCUGGGAUACAGGAGGUUGUAUCCAGCUGCCUAUGAAGUGCUGUGGCCACCAGUAGGGGCAGCACACAGAGGCAGCAGUAACCCAUCGCAACAUAUUAGAGGAGAAAAAGACAGGUUGCAACACCAUUUCAUAGCUAAUUAGAGGGCAGGAGGUGCAUCCUGGGCUGUUGACUCAACUGGCUCUGCAUCAUGGCCAUGAGCUACAGGUGACCAGGAGUUCAGCUGCUGGCCUGGGUGACUCUGACAAUGUCAGCAGACCCCCAGUCACUUCCUACACAAGGCUGCUCAUGGCUCAAAGGUGGAUUUAGCAUUUUUCUAAAUUUGAUCCACUUAUCUUUCUCCAAGAGCUCGAGCCAAAGGCUAAUAUCUUAGACAAGCUUCGCAUUAGCUUCCUGGACUGUUGGAAUUAUGCACAGAUAAAAUGGCCUGAAUGCCCCAAUUUAUAGAAAUAAUAUUUAUUUUGCUGUUUCAUUCCAUGACCAAUUGUACAAAAACAUGAAGCAUGUAGUAGGAUGUGAUCAACAUCAUCAGGACAAAAAACUGUAUUUUUCUUUUCAACACCUCCCCACAGAAUUGCAGUCCAAAUCUUCUCUCAUGGAAAUCAAUGAAUGUUUUAGACGUGAGAUCAGGAGGAUCCAGAGCAGUCUCUCUACACUUUUUAAUUACUUUAAUUAACAAACUACAGCUCUGGGACUCAAAAUUAAGUUUCUUUUUAAGUUUGUAUAUUUUUCUCCCUCCUUUGAACAGACACAUUUGUUACUAUCAUUUCUUGAUAAAUCAUCAGUAUAGUUUGCAAAGGAAUCAAUAAACAGAUUGUCAGAAAAUUGAGAGUAUGAUUUUGUCCCUCCCCCUGCCUUUUUGGAGCAGAAUACUAAGUAUCAGUCUAUAGAGUGGAAGAUCAAUUUUAUUACCAAAUGCAGAACAUGCUAAAAUUCCCAAGAUUACCUAGGAAAGUAGAUGCCUAAGAACUAGAAGUUGAUUUUUAAUGUUUAAUUUUUAAUGUUGAGUUAGGAGUGUUUUCAGAAAACACUCAAGUGCCUCCAUGUAUAUAAUUAGCUGAAAUGACCUUUUAAAAAUUGUCUCUUCUGUAAAAAGGUAACAUUUUGUAAAAUUCUGUUCUAAAAUUUUAAGAACUUCUGCAAAGUCAUAAGGCACUGUGGAAUAUUUAGCACCUCCUUAAGACUCUAGUGAAUUUAGGCGCUAUAAUUUUAGCCACUGGAGGGCUCCCCAAUUUUUUAAUUAAUUUAAUAGGACAGUCAGUAUGAAAGAAUGGAAGAAGGAACUAAUCAGGGUUGUUCCGAGUCAUUACCACAAUCUCUACAAAUACUAAAUUUCAUACAAAUUCUGGGUAUUCUGCUGUGCAUUCUUCAACAAAAAUAUUGGAAGAAAACCAUUUUAAUAUUUUUGGUAGAACAAGUAUUCCACUGUGUGUUGGCCAACGAGCAGGACUGAGUGUAGCAGGCUCAUUACGUACAAAUAAAAAUACAUGAUCCCCCACAAGUUUUACUUUAGUAGAUUGUUCAUUGAAGUUAACAGUGCAUCUCCGUUCAGACAGUUCUGGAGUACUGUAUGUGUGUGUGAUCCCUGAGCAUCCUCAAGCAAUGUCUAAUGGGACAGGGUGUUUGAAAGCACACUUUGAUGGGGACAUUAUUUCACUUUAGAAAAUAACAACAGGUUGACUGACAAGCUCCUCAGAGGCAAUUGGACAGAAAAUGUCUUGCAUGCAUUUUUAUUAAUUAUCUAUGUACAUUUCAACACUGAAGAUGGUUGCUCAUGGCCAGGUCAGCCUGCAGCACAGAGCAGAGCCUACUCCUUGAGUCCUACUUUGGCUGUUGUGCUCUAAACACCCAGCAAAUCACCUUGCAAAUCCUAUUAUUCACUCAAGGUCUCACUUUCUAUUAAAUGGAAGGAAAAAAAAAAAAAAGAGAUAACAGAGAAAUUGUGAGAUCCCAAGGUGAAAUCAUAUUAAGUGUGCCUGGUAAACCAAGCACAUUCUGCUCUUCCAGCUGUGGGGAUGUUCCAGACUGUACAAAGCACGGACUCCUGAAGUCGCAUGUGCUACAGCUUUGUUGGUAUGCAGGCAACAAGGGAGGUGACACCACCAUAUUUCACCUCUCUGGAUGCAAAGUCCACCUGAUACAUUAACUGGAAAUUUUGUUCCAGCUUCACAGUUCUGAACCAAAAAAAAAA